GGCGCGGUAGCAAAGCGGUUAUGCACCGGAUUGCAAAUCCGGCUAGAACGGUUCGACUCCGUUCCGCGCCUCCA
rnacentral:tRNA from 1 species